AUGGCGAGUGCAAGCAGUCGCAGCCGGAGGCGAGUUAAUGACGGGCGGAGAAUAGUCGUGCCGGGAAAGGGAGAGAUUGUCCACUAUUCGCUAUCUAAUCCAGAAAACAUUUGGAUGAAGAAGAAAGUCAUCCGGCCGUUCCUUUUCCAAUCCAAUGGCUCGCUGAAAUCAACCGACCCAAAUAAAUUUUGCAGGGUAGGACAGCAAGAUCAUUGA
rnacentral:rRNA from 1 species